GAUGAAGAACGCAGCGAACUGCGAUAAGUAAUGUGAAUUGCAGAAUUCAGAGAAUCAUCGAGUCUUUGAACGCACAUAGCGCCCCCUGGCAUUCCGGGGGGCAUGCCUGUCCGAGCGUCAUUGCUGCCCUUCAAGCCCGGCUUGUGUGUUGGGUCGUCGUCCCCCCCGGGGGACGGGCCCGAAAGGCAGCGGCGGCACCGCGUCCGGUCCUCGAGCGUAUGGGGCUUUGUCACCCGCUCGAUUAGGGCCGGCCGGGCGCCAGCCGGUGUCUCCAACCUUCUAUUUUAUCAGGUUGACUUCGGAUCAGGUAGGGAUACCCGCUGAACUUAAGCAUAUCAAUAAGCGGAGGA
rnacentral:misc_RNA from 1 species